rnacentral:tRNA from 2 species
UCGCCGGGAAGUAUGUUUGUAUGUGUGCCUUCCAAGCACAGGGCCUGAUCUUUGCAUCAGCCUGGUGAG